GGAAUGGGGAUGCUGAAGAAACAGACAUCCUUCCAGAGGAUUAUAAGACGGCAAUAGUUCACUCAUCACUUAAACAGCACUUUGCAGAAGUCAUUGCCAGUGCCCACCUUGAUGUGACUGGACCACCGAAUAUGUACCAUGCACCAGCAUUCAUUUCAAGUAUUUCAAAGUACUUUCUACCACAUGCUACCUUGUGGUCAGGAAUGCUGCUUGGAGACCUUGGACGGCAUGGGAAAGGCUCAGCGUAUGGCUUUCUCAGUAAACGGUACAAUCAUGUGUCGCAGUUGAAGAAGCAGAACUACACUGAAGACAAUCGAACACAAGGGAUCAUGGAAAAA